GCGUCGGGAGCGGGAUGCGCCGGGAGCGGGAUGCGUUGGGAACGGGAUGCGGCCGGAGAGGGAUUCGCCCGGAGAGGGAUGCGCGGGCGGUCACAGGCACAGCACCGAGCCGUCCCCGCAGAGACCGCUGCCGACGGGUUGCGCGCUGGCCUUCCCUGGAUCACUGAUUUCCCGCAUCCCACAGCGCGCCCCACCCAGCAGAAGCCCCGCCGCGGACACGUCUCUCACAGCCGGGCACAGCCGUCGAGAGGCUGUACCGAGCCAUCCCUGGCUGCACCCGUGGCCUCGUUUCACUAAAGCCUCUUGGCAUGUGCUUCAAGAGGACGUGAUAAAUCUCGCUCAGUAAUUGCCGGGCAAACUUAGCUGUUUUAAUGUUUUUUAAAAUUUAUUUUAUUAUUACUAUUCUUUUUAAUGGCUUCUGGGAUGGGACUGGAGACACAGCGCGACUUAACAUUGUUUUCAGAACACAACAAAAAAUCAACAUUUGAAUUUGCCAUGAAAUAGCCAUUUUCUGCAAUAUGGAAAUUUCUGUGGCAGUAGCAGUUGCCAGGACCUGGAAGGGGGAAGAAAAGCCUGUGAUUCCCACCCCACCACACAAGGAAAGCAGCAUCAC